CCCUUCCAAUUCUCUUUUGCAUACUUCAUGAAGGCAGCAAUCUCUUCUGGUUUGUCGAUGUACGAAUUUUGAUCAAAAUCAUUAGUUGUGGUGGCACCCCUGGCUUUCCAACUAGCGAACCAUUUGCCGUCGAACCAUUUGCCGUGUUUCUUGAGGAAGUUCUUGAUCUCAUCGCGGCUUAUACGACCAUCACAGUUGGUGUCGAAUUGUUU